rnacentral:lncRNA from 1 species
UGGCUUAUCCUUUCGGCAGAUGAAGACAGUGAGGCACAGAGACCAGGGAAUUGUGAGGCUAUGGUUAGGACGUAGUUUGUUAGACUGAAAGCGAAACUCGCACUUUCAAUUUCCUUCAUGCUAAGAGAAGUGACCUUACAACUGAAAGUCAAGAGAUGAAAGCCUAGUAGAUUUGAUAAAGAUGGUUACUUUUUACUGCGAGACCUCAUCAAGAUAAUCUGGGCAUUAAAGAUGCUGUUUGCAUGUGCUGCGGGAGAAGUAUUUUAUUAAGCGCUCGUAAAUGGAAAGAAAAAUGCUUUACUGAAGAUCGUAGCGCUGCUAACGCUUCUAUGUUGGAGGGUAUUUCAGCACUUUCUGUGGACGUGCCUCUGAUUUCCAAAGAAACUGAUUUAAAUUGAGGAUGGAUUCUCUUGGG